GACGAACGCUGGCGGCGUGCUUAACACAUGCAAGUCGAACGAAGAGCGAUGGAAGCUUGCUUCUAUCACUCUUAGUGGCGAACGGGUGAGUAACGCGUAAUCAACCUGCCCUUCAGAGGGGGACAACAGUUGGAAACGACUGCUAAUACCGCAUACGAUCUAACCUCGGCAUCGAGGAUAGAUGAAAGGUGGCCUCUACAUGUAAGCUAUCACUGAAGGAGGGGAUUGCGUCUGAUUAGCUAGUUGGAGGGGUAACGGCCCACCAAGGCGAUGAUCAGUAGCCGGUCUGGGAGGAUGAACGGCCAAAUUGGGACUGAGACACGGCCCAGACUCCUACGGGAGGCAGCAGUGGGGAAUCGUGCGCAAUGGACGAAAGUCUGACGGAGCAACGCCGCGUGAGUGAUGACGGCCUUCGGGUUGUAAAGCUCUGUUAAUCGGGACGAAAGGCCUUCUUGCGAAUAGUUAGAAGGAUUGACGGUACCGGAAUAGAAAGCCACGGCUAACUACGUG
rnacentral:rRNA from 1 species